GAACAAAGGGAUGGAAAAAGGUACAGGCAUUACCAACCAGCUACUCACGCAGAGAAGGACGUCAAUUCGUAUUCGCUUCUAGAUUUUUAUUCGUUAUUAAAAGCUCGGUAGAGAUGUCGCUGUUGUGCUGUUUGAAAUGCUAUCACAGACGGACGAGUGUUAGUCGAAUACCAUUAUAGCUGUUAUUUUCAGGUAUAGACGUACCCGACUGUCACUUUUAGAGAGAAUAGAACCCGACUGUUUUGCGAACGGUUAGUGGUUUAUUGUGAAACAACAAUCAGUAAAAAAAACAUUGCGGCUAUGGGAUCAUAUUUGUGGAUAUAUGCCAUAGUAGAACAAUGCUAUUGAAGGAAUGGUGUUUAGCAUCUACGGACUAACUUUUUACGUUUUUCUGUGUGCACUAAGUGAUACGAGUCAGGGAAUAAACACAGCUAGUAUAAUUAAAGAGUCUACCGAUUGUUUGUGUCGCGGAAAUCAGGAGCCAACCUUUUUAAUGGGAUGAAGUCGAAUAGAAAGACUGUGUAAAACUUAGAACUAAGUUAACUGAAAAAAGCAUGUACGUUGUCAACGAAUAAUUGAGUUGCAAAAAUUACUUUUUUUUAUGAAGGACGCUCCUAGAAGCAAACGCAGUCGGAAGCAAAAAACUCUAAUGCUAACAAAUGGUAAGGAGAACUGCUUCAACGAUAUUGCUGGUACACAAUAGUGAUAUCACUUGAACUUUAGAUACCGGCAAGAAGUGCGCGCUCUUAAUGUAAUUUACUAACAGUGUUUUGCUGUUACUUUUCAUAAAUUCGAGGCUGUGGCUAUUCGGUCAAGCAUUAUUGCAGCUCCGUGUACGGGUGGCACUCAAACGACCGGAAUCAGUGUAACUUAGUUUCUGCAAUAGCUACUGCAGUGCCAGUAAUAGGAUAAAAGGACCAAUUUCAACCGGUGUAAAUUAAUGGCGUCGUCAACUACCUAUAGAUGAUAACAUUUCGCUCCAGCCAGUAGCCAUACGGUCGCCUGUGAGGACUGGCUUUAAUUAAGUUAUUUGUCACCAUGAUGAGCUUGCCAGCUCCAAUAUGGUUUAAUUAGCCUGAUUUCGGCGGAAACCAACACAUUACAUCAGACUGGGCUGAACGCCGAAACCUCUCCUUGAAGACCUGUAAGUGCUGCUUUCAGAGGCACCUAACCAGGUUUGGUUCCUCAGUAAAUGUAUUUUUAUGCACACCGUAAUCAUCACAGGAUUUGCCAAGGCAAUAUCGUCUGCUUGGGCUAGAGAAAUUUUGCAUUUAAUUCUAAUUUACUGAAGCUGUACUCAUUUGUGAGUAAUCGAAAAGCAGCAUAACGUAACAGGAAGGCUACGGCCUAUUCGUUGACGUGAGGUACAACGUGUCCAUAAAUGAUGAUGUAGUCCUUGAAACAAAAGCAGGAUUCGGUUGUUCUGUAAUUUCUGCGAAUUAUUAGGCCGAUUUAGAGACGCGUGCGUUUCAUAUGAGACUGUUUACUCUGGAAGAACAUUUCGAUGGUGCAUAAAGGAGAAGUAACCAACGGAACAACCCGAUCGCUGCUGCCCUACUUCAACACUAAACGGGUCGAUGUACCGAUUAUAGCUGCUUCAACAUCUUCCUUACUCUUUCAAGAACCUCACUGGAUAUCGCCGGCGCCUGCGGGCGACGUGGGCUCGUGGCUACGAGACACGGUUUCUUGCAUGGGCCCCUGGGUGGGACUCAUUCUUAGCGGAAUAUGCGCCGUGGCGAUACUUGCCACACUCUACGGACUAUGGCUCUAUCGGAAACGCAGAAGGACCGCUAAGGUCAGACGACAUGUCAGCAUGAUGCAAAUGGAGCCUUAUCAGGUAGGUGACUGACGGAUGGAGAAAGAACACAGAAAAGCCAGCGGAUUUUCGUCUGUUGACAAUUGCGAUGACGGCACAGCUUUCGUCUAACGGUUGAAUGUGUUUCCUGACCUUGUAGGGGACACUGAAAAUGCCAAUCUGGCCAUACCAGAACAGAGUUCUGUAGCGUUUCGCGGUUCGUCCUAUCCUAGCUCAACACGACCCCUUUGUAGCGUCUUGUCGCCUUUGUCAAUGUGGCCUGGUGGACUUUGUCGUGAACUUGGGGUUACAUAUGCUGUGACAUGCUGCUCCGAGAAGCCCCAUCCCCUUAGUCAUAAAAACUACGCAGUAUGCUUAUCAGACCUGGAUAUAAACGAGCGGUUCCUUUUUCAUUUGUUCGCGGACUGAUCAACUUUCCACCACCGCUAAAACGGCUGCAGCUGCAGCGCCAGUUGCGCUUCGCCUAAGAUGCUUAAAUCGUCUGUGCUCGCUAAUUGGCUCGUUAAUCAUACGGAGAUUUGGGCUGACGGUGUCAGGCGCACUAAAAGCAACCGAGCUGUCCUGUCGCGACGAAGUAAACGACAGCAUUUGCUGCAAUAACAAUGCUAGCAAUAAAUCUCUACCCGCCGUUGCAGACGAGAGAAUCUGUUAGGCACGUGCUCAAAUGCAGCGAAUAGCGUUACUUCUGCUAGUAAUUAUAAUUAUUGUGCUAAGGAUAAUAUGAGUAGACCCUCAGUGUAGACCCCCCCCCCCUCUCCCGCUCCAUGCACACGGCGUUACGGUAAAGAUCCCGUAUUGUUGCUUUCGCAGAAGCAGUAGCUACAACACGGUGAAUCUCGUCACGUGCGUCAGGUCAAUUAACCAUCGUUUUCAGCAACUGCAUCUGAUAUAGCCCUGUAUUGUGUGUCGGCUAGCUGUUUUCACAACGAAAUCUCUGAUGCCAUACCUCUUUAGUGUGUGAAAUCGAAAGGAAACAGUAAUGUAUAAACUGUGCUGAUGGAGGGAUAUCUGUCCGUGUGUUGAAUCGGCUGCAAUUUGCUAUGGUCAUGCCGUGAGUAUAGAAUUACUCAUCUGCAUGUGGCUGCGAAAUGAUACGCCAACUAAAAUGAGUCAGCAAAGAAUGUAUAAGCCAUUCAAAUUUAAAUAAAUUUUGGCGGGUUUGCGUUCGUCUGCCAACCUUAAUACUGGAAGAAAGCCAGUUUUUUUUUUCUAGAAUCAAGCAGCAAACUCGUCAUAGUAAAAAGCGGUGAGUCGUUUUUGCGAAAAUUAGCUAUUAUCAAUUUUCUUCGCGCUAGGGAAGCAUCAACAAAGCAAAAAUGUACUUUUUGUUCCAAAGUGACGGUAUAUGCUGUUGCCACUUUUUAUGCGGCUUCUAAAAAAUACGAAGAAGGUUUUCAUGAAAUAAACUGCAAGGUAACCGAUAGGGUACGUAUUUAAACAGUUUAAAAACUUAUCAAAAAAGCUUAAAAGGGCAAGUCUGAUGUACCUGUAUUUUUGACACAGAAAUUAACGGCCGCUUUAGAGAGGAGAAUUUCAAUUGCCAAUUGAAUCGUCAAUACACGUUUCAAAAACUAGUCUUCUUAAGACUUCUCGCGCCAUUUUGCAUUUGGAUUGUUGGCCUACUACCAGCCUAAAAUUUAAUCCCGUUAUAACCUCUCGUAUACAGCGUGUUUAACUGAUACUUUAACGAAUUUAUAGCCAUAUACAUUAUUAUCUCUAUAAUUUAUAGCCACAUAUAUAUGACGAAUAUUAUCACAAGGUUACUUAUUAAUUGACUGAAAAAGGUUUCAAAUUGAAGAUGUAAUCGAGAUGAAUGAUGGUUAUAUUGCACAGACCUGGCUGUCAGAAAUAACUCAAUGCAAAAAUGUAUAUAUAUAUAUAUAUAUAUAUAUAUACAGAGUGAAGCAAGCGUAGGUUUAGAAAAAAACACGAUUGAAAGAUGAUUCGGCGUUGACUGUUGUGGAAAGCCAGGCUUACAAUUGAAGCAUCAUCCGCAUCAACUGAAAAUUCACUCUCGCUUUCAAAAUGAAGUCUAUGGUAUAUUAUCUCUUGAUUUACAUGUUUAUUUACUGUACGUCUAAAGCAUCAAUAAGUUGAAAAUAUCCGUGUCGGUGGCCCAUAUCAUUCAGUUGGCUAUCCAGGUAAUCCAGUUGGCUAAUACGCACCUUUUUGAGCGUGUCGCCGUAAUAAACGUAAUUAAUAAGCAUGCGACCACGCUAGCUCAAAUCUUAGCUUUGGUAAAAGUAAUUACCGUAUAUCAAUGACAAGGAAAAUGAACGAUGAAGCUAAAAUGAGGAGUUAGGAAGAUAAGGUAAUACUAUUAAGCUUAGUAAUUGCUUGCAUGAUGGCCGCGCCAUCUCAUUAUUUUUUGGGGAGACCCCAUAGAAGUUCAGUCAGACCCAGUCCGGGUAGAUUCGUAAUGGUGACGAGUCAAGUCCUCGAUGAUAUAUUUAAAGUUAGGUGACUACGGUGACCUGCUCGUAUGCGGUAAAAGACUGGUAGUACUAAGAAGAAAAAAAGAAAACGUGGGGCUGUAUAGUAUGUAGGCCACUAAUAACUUUGUGAAAAAAAAAAAUCGAAGUUCAAUGGAACUAUAAGAAAAUGCUUUUCUUUCUAGAAAGGCCUGUAAUUAUGGCUGGAGAAGUGGAUGCUUUAGAAUCAAAUAUAGCCAGGUUAGACAGGUCAAAGACAAUAGCUCGUCUAUUGUAGAUCCACAUGGAAUCCUGCUGCGCAAUACAAAGAAAAUUUACGAUUGAUUUAGGUAUUGGCAAAUCUACAAGCUGCAUUUGUUCCAGAAGUGAGUUUAGAAACGAUAACAAUGUGUGCAUAGUUUUCAAAGCCAACUUCACGAUAUCGAAGUCUGUACAACUGUCGUGAUAUGCAUGAUUUUUGUAUAAUUAUAUCUAGUAGUAAUUUAUAAUAAUGAUUAUCCGUAAUUGGGUGUAUAUAUUGACAAUGUUGUUUUGUUUAAGCGAUACGUUAUGCCAAUAAAGCCGUCAAAACCUUGCGUAUAAACGAAGUAAAUACGAAAACUUAGUUCUAUUUGAU